ensembl:lncRNA
AUGGUAAAAAAAAAAAAGAAAAUAUUUGUUUCCAUGAUAAACCAGCCUUAUUGCAUAAGUAAUGUUUUCCAGCUUCUAGUCAUUUAUUGUGCAUGCUACCUUAUAUUUACCAGUUUUACUUUAAUAAAAUUGAGAUAUGUCAUGCAUGGGAUUGGUACCAUAGGGUUUAACCAAAAUCUAAAUAUAUCAGCAACAUUAUUUUGCAGUAAGUUAGUAAACACUUGCCAGUCAACAUUAAUAUUUGCAAGCCUCCAAGUUUGGUAGCAAAUCUAUGCAUGAUUCCAUGGUAAACCAGAGAUAUUAAAGUUGUUUUCCAGAUUCUUGUCAUUUAUUGUAAAUGCUACCUUAUAUUUUUCAGUUUUCAGCUCAGCAAACUCGGUUUUGCAUAUUCUAAACUAGCUACAUAUUAUGUGUGCUACAUUCCCAGUGUUAGCAAACGCUAGCUAGUCUGUUAACAUGAAUAACGUAUUUGCAAGCCUCCAAGCAUAGACGUCACAUUUUAAAUCCUACCUGUUGCCUUUCACCAUCCACUUAUUUAGCUGCUGUCGCAUCCCUUGACAUGCCAUCUCCUUUUCCCUCUUUCUUUUUCUAUUUUUAGCCCCCGAUAGCUUUUUUGCUUUAUCCAUCUUUUUGAGUUUCAACGACAACUCGCUAACGUUACUAAAUUUAAAUUUAUAUAACUUUUUUAUAUAUAUAACUAUCAUCUAAAUUUAUAUAAAUUUUAUAAUUAAAAAAAAAAAAACAUCGCUUUGGCGCACCCAUGGUGCGGCGCCCCUAUGCGCCGCAUAUAGCGCAUACCCACUUUUUGCGCCACUGUGUUUAGUUUUACUAACUUUUCUCAUUCUGCAAGAAGCACUGACAAAACAAGAUCUGAAAACAACUGAUAUGAUCUUCUCUUCACACUGCAUGUGCUUUAUUUGACAUCACGGCACCAUUAACUAGAAAUUCUUAGUAAUGCAAGCUGUUUAUUCUUUCUCUUGUAUUUCCUCUUUCACAUCAUUCUCUCAGUUAAAUAUUGAUGCAUGUUUGAUAUUGGCUAUUACUUUCUAUAUAUGUAUAUA